rnacentral:lncRNA from 1 species
CAAUGCUCAAGCCGAGUUUCAGCAUCCUGUGGAUUCUGUUGCCAAAGGUGUUAGGGUCAUCAAGGCUGAAGCCAGAGGUGAGGAGAGCAGUCUCGAAGAGAAGGAGAACAAGGUCCUUCACAGAUUUAUCAUUCUUCUCUGCAUCGGCUCUCUUUCUCAGCUCUUCCAUGAUGGGGUUCUCCGGGUUGAUCUCCAUUGUCUUCUUGCUUGACAUGUAACCAGCCAUGCUGUUAUCCCUCAAAGCCUGGGCCUUCAUGAUUCUCUCCAUGUUUGCAGUCCAACCAUACUCGCCAGUCACUAAACAGCAAGGUGAGUCAACAACACGAUCAGAAACCACAACCUUUUCAACCUUGUCACCCAGCACAUCCUUGAUGACCUUGCAAAGACCCUCAAACUUUUCCUUCAAAGCUUCCUUCUUCUUCUUCUCAUCCUCACUCUCAUCAAGUUUAAGACCUUCCUUGGUAGCUGACACAAGCUUUUUGCCCUCAAAUUCUUUGAGCUGUCCGACAGCAUACUCAUCAAUAGCAUCAACCAUGUAAAGGACCUCAUAACCCUUCUUCUUCAGCUUCUCAAGGAAGGGAGAGUUCUCAACUGCCUUUUUACUCUCACCAGUGAUGUAGUAGAUAUCAUUCUGACCCUCCUUCAUUCUGGUCACAUAGUCCUUCAAGCUGGUCAGCUCAUCACCACUCUUGGUGGAGUGGUAGCGGAGCAAUUCGGCAAUUUUAGUCCUGUUCUGAGAGUCCUCAUGGAUACCAAGCUUGAGGUUCUUUGAGAAUGCCUCAUAAAACUUGUUGUAAUCUUCCUUGUUCUCUGCUAUUUCAAAGAAGAGCUCAAUGCACUUCUUUACCAAGUUCUUGCGGAUAACCUUCAAGAUCUUGUUUUGCUGCAACAUUUCUCUUGAGAUGUUCAAAGGAAGGUCCUCUGAGUCGACAAUACCCUUAACAAAGCUGAGGAAUUCAGGAAUCAACUCCUCGCAGUUGUCCAUGAUAAAGACACGUCUCACAUACAGCUUAAUGUUGUUGGGCUUCUUCCUUGUGUCAAAGAGAUCAAAAGGAGCCCUCUUGGGGACAAAGAGGACAGCCUUGAACUCAAGUUGCCCCUCAACUGAGAAGUGCUUGACGGCCAAAUGCUCUUCCCAGUCAUUUGUAAGGCUCUUGUAGAAAGCAGCAUAUUCUUCCUUGGUAAUCUCCUCAGGCUUCCUCAUCCAGAUGGGCUUCUGUUUGUUCACCAAAGACCACUCGUGCGACACCUCCUUAAUCUUCUUCUUUUUCUUUUCUUCCUUCUCUUUCUCCUCAUCAACAUCCUCAACUUUCCCUUCUUCGUCCUUCUUAUCCUCCUCAUCUUCAUCAUCAGAAAUCUCCUUCUCAGUGGUCUUCUCAAUCCAAAGGGAAAUCGGGUAGCUAAUAAAUUCAGAAUGCUUCUUAAUCAAAUCCUUCAAACGUCGCUCCUCAAGGUACUCAAGCUGAUCCUCUUUCAAAAACAGAGUAAUCUUUGUACCCCUACCAAGGUUCUCCCCGGAAGUAUCCCUGGUAACAGUGAAUGAACCACCAGCUUGGGACUCCCACACAUAUUGUUCAUCAUCAUUAUGCUUUGCGGUUACAAUAACCUUCUCAGCAACCAAGUAUGCGGAGUAGAAACCAACACCAAAUUGACCAAUCAUACUAACGUCAGCACCAGCAGCCAGUGCUUCCAUAAACUCCUUAGUACCAGAUCUUGCGAUUGUACCAAGAUUGUUCACCAAAUCUAAACAACAGAAAUAUAUAAAUGCAUUAGAUUCCCAUUUUAAACGAAACUCCACAACUAAAUGCACAAUAGUUGAUACUCCAAUACUCAAGAAAACACUUACCAGCCUUAGUCAUGCCAAUACCACUGUCAAUGAUGGACAGUGUAUUGUUAGUCUUGUCUGGAAUAAUGUGGAUGAAGAGCUCAGGUUGAGCAUCGAGCUUGCUCUUGUCUGUCAAGCUCUCGAACCUGAUCUUAUCCAAAGCCUACAGGUAAAAGAUUUAACAUCAUAUACUAAUCACUAACCACACCAAAAAGGCACUUCAGUUAUGUUACACGCAUUAGAUUCACGAGAUCUUUCUUAUUUACUCUUUUACAUUCAAAGAAACCAAAAAAAUGUACUAACAUACCGCUUCAAUUAAGUUCCAAUAAGCAUAAAUUAACGGCCAACUAAAAAUACAAAAGCUAAACCCUAAACCCUAAAAAUAUUUCACUAACAAAAGCAUUAUGCAAAUCAAAACAAACAACCACUGAACAGAAAAUUACGCAUUAAACAUCAUAAUAACAUAUAUCCAAAUCCAAAAUAAACUCCAACAUUUCUAUUAUGAAACAAACAAACAAAAAGAAAUCCAUCAAUAUCGAAUAAAGAGAUCAGAUCCAUACAAUCACGCAUAAAAAAAAAUCAAAAACUAUUAUUAAAUAGAACUUACAUCAGAGGCGUUACUGAUAAGCUCACGAAGAAAGAUCUCCUUGUUGCUGUAGAAAGUGUUGAUAAUCAAACUAAGAAGCUGAUUGAUCUCAGCUUGAAAAGCAAACGUCUCAGUAUCCGCCAUUGAUGAUAAACCUCUAACCUCCCGAUCCAAAACACACUAAGAAAUACCGUAAAAUGAGAGAGUAUUCAAAUUUCGAAUAGAGAGAAAGAGCAGAAAAUAUCAGAGUGAGGCAGUUCUGUGAUGCAAGGCUGAAGGGUACCUUAUAUAGGGGAACUUCAUUAGGGUUUCUAGAUCCUUCUAUUGACGUACUUUUAAAAAAAAAUUAUUUUUGGGUUUACCUAUAUGAUAGCAGAAUAGGGAAUGCGGGAGCCACUCAUUUAUAUGCUUAAUACUUUUCUUCGCCAAUUAGACUUUGCUUUCUUUUUUUUCUUUUUCUUUUUUUUUUUUGACUUUUUUUGUUAUAUUUAUUAUAAAUAUAUAAAAUAUAAGGCAAAAAUGUUCGCUUAAAAUUAAAUUAAAUGUUAAAAAAUAAAAAAAAUUAUAUUCAAUUACAAAAAUAGAAAAUUAAAAAAAAAUUUAUUAAUCAAGAUGAGAUGAUGUUUUUUUUUUUUCAAAUACAUUUUUUAGAAAAAUAAAUAAAAAUUACAAAUGGCGGAAAAUGCUUUUGGUUAAAAUCGUUUUUUGUAAAACGUGUAUGAUAAGUAACGUUUUAGCUUCCACGUUCGAUGAAGCUUCUUAUGGAAACUUUGAAAACGACUUUAAAAUUUAUAGAAUUUAUUAGAGUUAGUGAGGAUGAUGGGUCAGGUUGGGUUUGGUUCAAGUCGGAUCGGGUCAGGUUGGGCAUCAAUAUAAUUUUAGAUUCUGUCUAAAAGAUAGAUUUAAAAUUUUGUCUAUAUUUGACUCGGAUGAAAAUAUUAAAACUUGAGCCCGAAUUGAUCUGCCCGUAUUGAAAAUAAAUUUAAAAUUUUUUAAUAUUUAUGCUUAAAUAAUACUAAGAUAUGUGCAAGUUAGUAAGGAAAUAUCUUUAAAAUAGUAGCAAAAUUAAUAAUAAAACAAGAGUUGUACAAUAUUCAAACAAUAACAACAAAAUAGUAAUAAUAUAAUAACGAAAUAGCAGCAAAACAGUGAAAAAGCAACACCAAAACAGUGGAAACAGCACCAUGUUUGUUUGUUUCUUUACAAAUUGGGAUCAGACCAGGCUGGGCAUGGGCCAAAAACGGCUUACCCAAGACUUGACCCCUUUAGAAAAUGGGUUUCAUUUUUUUGCCUAAGCCUAUUUUUUGAGCCUAUAUUUUUACCCAAACCCUCUCACUUUUAGGGCAGGCCUUCGGGCCCGAUCGAGUGACCUGGCCCAUGAUCAAGUCUAAUUAGAAUAGUUCUUGCACUUUAAAUACUAGGUUUUUAUUCACCAUUUGGCUUUUGAAGUAUAUUCAUUUUUUUAUAUUUGUACCUAAAUUUUUUUGUACCAUUUUAGUACUUGAAUUAUAAUUUUGUUACACUUUUUUGGCCCUUGCCGUUAAUGGUGUUAAAAGAACAAAAAUCGAUUAGAACACACUAUGUGUUCCUGUUGACCGCUGAUGUGGACGUUGAUCGAGUUUUAUCCAAAUAAAAAUCAUUUAAAAUUAUAAAUUUUUUGAAUUUUUUUUAUUCCAUGUGAUGCCUUUGUUUGAUGAUGUUGGUAGGGAAGUCAUUCAUCUUUCUUGGGUAAUUUGAUAAACAAUCGCCAUGGAUUUUGAUUCAAAGAUCCUGUAAAUAUGCAACAAAUGAUUGUUUCAAGAACAAAGAGAGAAAUAAAUAAGUAAUCAACAAUCUUUCCAAUGCCAAAGAAGCAUUAAUAUUUUUCAAAAACUUGUAAAUCGUCAUCACUUGUAAUUUAAAUAGUGCUUCAAUGACCCAAAUUUAUGGCGGAGAAACAACAAGAAAGAAAAUUGUUUUUACCAUUUUUAAGCAAAAUUCAAUCUUUGUAGGUUGCUAAUGUUCCUUUACAAGUUUACAUGUGUAACACCCUUUAUUCGAGUAAACUCGGGCAAUGAGUGUUACAUUUAACACUGAACAUUUACUUACGAAUUCAAAUAGUUUUAAAUUGGAAUUUUACAAAUGAUAUCAGGUCCUUAUUAUGUUUUUAGGAACAUAAUUUAUCUAAUAAUAAAGAUUAAUUGCAUGUAAAUAUUGUUUUAGAUCUCAUAUCACUUAAUUAAAAUUUUUGCCCUGCAGGUCUGUAUGUCUCGAGACCAUGGCCUUCAUGUCUCAAGAUAUUGUCAUGGCAUUGUAGAAAUUUGGCUUUGAAAUUGCCUUAUCUAGGGAAAAUGGGGCUUUUUUCUCGAGAUAAAGUCCAAUAUAUCUUGAGACAUGGCAAUGUUACUGUAGAUUUUUAGGUUCGCAGUUUCGAUGUCUCGAAACAUAUUUCUAGUAAUACCCAUCGCCUGACCUAAUUGUCGGGUCCUAGCUACCGGAUGCUACAGUCGUUGCCGAAGCAAUUACAGUUAAUUUACAAGAAAAUAAUCAUAAUCGCAUGUAAUUUAACAUCAAACACAUUCAUCUAUAGUUAAAGAAUCAAAACUGAGUCUUGUUCAAGCUUACAAAAGCUCUUUUGUCAACCUGAGCUCAAAAUAGGACCAAAUUGCAAAUUUUUAAAAUUUCAAGGUUGACGUCGUGACGUCUCCAAAUAGUUUGUCAUGUUAUGACCUCAAGCCUCUCGACGUCACAACGUGACUCACAUUGAUCGACAUUGCGACGAGAUAGGUUACUCAUCGGGAUGUGAACUCUGUUUUUGGUAAAAAAAAAAUGGACCAUUUGGUACCUAUUUCAAAUAUUCCCAAACAUACCUAUCAAUUUACGCACCAAAGCCAACUUCAAUUGAAUAAAAACAUACCUCAAGCAUACCAAAACACAUAACAUUUCAUACCAAAUCAAGUCAUCAACUACUUCCAUUCAACCAUUUCAACAUAAGUUCAACUAUUAUCAAUUAUUCAUUUUCAUACAUUCCAUCAAAUACCAUUCCAUAUAAAUCAACCAAACCAUUCAAUUAUCAAUCCUUACCUAGGCCAAGUCAUAUAGGAUCAUGCCAUUUCAUUUUCAUUUCAAAGACUUCAGCAUAUUUGCACAUCUAUUCAUUCAACUUACCAUUUCUUCCAUAUUUAACUUUUAACAUAUCAAAUGACAUGUUCAAGUUUAAAAUCAUCAAUUAAACCACAUCAAGCAUUAGCUAAUAUUUCAUACACCAUCUAGUACAUACCAAUUUUUCAACAACUCAAUAUUUGCCACAAAUAUCAAACGUACCAAAUGAUCAACAUAGUGACUAUUUCCUUAACAUCUAAUCCUUAUUUACAUGUCACGAUCCCAAAACUCAAAGUGAUCAAAAAGCUUACCAAUUUAAGGAUAGUGUGAGUUUCGAGGUAAUCCAGCUUGACGUGUUCCACAAGGUAUUGAUCUACAAGGAAAAGGAAAAACAACGGGGUAAGCAUAUAAAAUUCUUAGUAAGUUCAUAUGAAAUUUACAUUACUUACCUUAACAAUUCAACAAGCUAGAUUACUAAACAUAUUGACAUUUAAUUGCCCUUCCUUGACAUACUUUGAUGCAACUAAGACACAUAAACAUAUACAACCAAAUAGGUUAGUCAAUUUGCAUACCAAGAUCAUUAAGUAAGUAAUCAUAUACCAUAACUCAAUUUGAAAGCAUAUGCAACCCAAUAUAUGCCCAAACCAUUUUAAUAUUUCCAUUUCCAUUAGGUUAAAGUUUCGUCUGAGGGAACUAUAGUAAAACGAACUCGGAUACACGGGAAUAUUUUCCUUACACAACCUGAGAUUUUAACGAAAAUGCUCACACAAGUUGGCAUCGUAUUAAGGUUACUAGUCCAGGCUAAACCAAUGAUACAUAUAACUUGAGAAUCUGCAACAAAUGUUAUAUCUCGUAUCAUCAUGUAAAUCCCUGAUCGAUUACGUGUAUAAUCCUAAUGACAUGUAAUAUGUAUCUUAAUCUUUUACUAAGUUCACACGGGUAUUAUUUUCGUCUACAUAUCAUUAACAAACCUUGUACUAGUUUACAUAUUUCAUACAAGUGCUGUAAACAUUCAACAUUCACAUUUGAUACUCCGUACCUAUUCGUAAUAACCAAUAUUUUCAUGUUUUUCAAUUCAGUCCAUGUGAACUCAAAUAUGUUAAUUUCACAUAUUAAGUAUAAACACACAAUUGAAACAAUACAAUUCAAAAAAAAAUUAAUAAUUUCCAUAUGAACUUACCUGGUAAAACAACAAAUAAACGAGUCUUUGAGGACUAAUUGACAAUUUUUGCUUUUCCUCAAUUUCUCUGGUUUGGUUCAAUUUUCGAUCUAUAUAAUUAUUCAAUUCAAUUUAUCAAUACUAAAAAUUUUUAUAUCAUCUCAUAAUAUGCAUGAACUAGUUUAAAUUCCAUCUUUUCGAAUGCCUAUAAAAAUUUACAUUUUAUUCAAUUUAGUCCCUAAACCCGAAAUAGCAAUAACUUUCAAUUUUAAGCUUCAAUUUCAGAGCCGAUCUUAAUCACAUCCUUCUAGGACCCUCUAUUAUCUAUUAUUAUAGAAAUUUCAUAUCAAAUAUUCAAUGUAUACACUUUAGUCAUUUUUGACAAAACUAAGAAUUAAACUUUAAAAUUUGGUCCCUUUUUUCACAUCUAAGUUUAAAAUUUAUAAAUUUAACAUCAAAUUAUUUAAGAAAUCAUCAAUGGGAACUUUCAAAAACUUUAACAAUUUUUACAAAUUGGUACAUGGGCUAGCUAAAUCAAGCUCCCAUGACCACAAAAACAUAAAAGUUACACGAAAAGAACUUAAUUGAGCAUACCUAAUAGUUGCUGAAACUUUGAAGCUUUUGAAACCCUAUUUCUCCCUUUUAGUUCGGUGGAGAAGAUGGUGCAGAGAAAAAAAUGAUUUGUUUUUCUUUUAAUUUUUGCUUAUAUACCUUUAAUUAACUUGAUUAAUCAUAAUUAAUUAAUAAAAACUUAAUUAAUUAAACCUUAAGUGUAAUCAACCAAUGGGUUUUAAAUACAUCCACCACUAUUUGAAGCAAUUAAAAUGGUUUAAUUGCCUUUUUGAUCCUUUAGCUAUUUAAAAAUCUAUAGAGAUAAGAUUUUUAUAAUUUAGUCCAUGUACCCUAAUUAACUAUCAAUUCGGAAAAAUUACUGGAUAAAAAUUUAAUAUAUUUUUAUAUUAACCUCGUAAAUAUUAAAUAUUAAUAUUUAUGGACUUAAACUACGGAAAUAGGGUUCUGAAACCAUAGUUUUUGACACCACUAACAAUCUGGUUGUUACAUAGUUUCUUCCGGCUCCCAUGUAGCCUCUUAUGUACUGUAAUGAUGUCAUAAUACUUUCAUUAGUGCCACAUGUUUAUUUCUUAAAUAUUUUACUUCUCGAGCUAAAAUCUUUACCGAUUCUUCACUAUACAUCAAAUCAGGAUGUAACUCUAUUUCAUCAGGAGAUAACUUAUGGGAUAGAUAGGAUAUAUAUCUUGGUAACAUUGAUAUGUGGAAGACAUUAUGAAUCUUGUCUAAUUAUGGACGUAGAGCUAGUUGAUACGCUACAGGUCCAAUUCUUCCAAGAAUCUCAUGCGACCCAAUAAACCUCGGACUGAGUUUUUCUGUUCUGUCAAAAUGCAAAACUUUCUUCCAAGACAAAACUUUCAGAAAGACUUUAUCACAAAUCUGAAAUUCAAUGUCUUUUCUUUUUAAGUCACUAUAAGACUUUUUUCUGUCGAAAGCAACUUUCAAACAGUCUCGAAUAAUCUAGACCUUUUCUUUAAUUUAUUGUAUCAAAUCAGUUCCUGUUAACUUUCUUUCACUCAACUCUAGCCAGCAUAGAGGAGUUAUGCAUUUACAACCAUAUAAAACCUCAUAAGAUGUCAUUUUAAUGCUCGGAUGAUAACUAUUGUUGUAAGCAAACUUAGCUAACGGUAGGAAUCUUUUCCAGCCACCUUCAGAUUUAAUCACACAACAUCGUAACAUAUCUUUGAGUAUUUGAAUCACUCGUUCUGAUUGUCCGUCAGUCUGAGGAUGAAACGCUAUACUGAAAUUCAGUUUCAUACUCAAGGCUUCGUGUAAUUUACCCCAAAAUCUGGAGGUAAAUCUUGAGUCCCAGUCUAAAAUGAUAGACAAUGGCACACUAUAUAAUCUGACAAUAUUUGAGAUAUAAAUUUCAGCUAACUUCUCAUGGUAACCAUUACUAUCUUCCUAAAUAAAAAUGUUAAUUAAUUACAAAUAAUAAUUAAAUUAUUUUUCCUGGACAAAUGACUUGUGACCAUUUUACUUUUCCAUUUAUCAUGUCAUGCCGAUGAAAAAAUAUCAUUUACCAUAUUUGGGCUAUGAAUUCCACUAUUGUAAGUGGUGUUAUGUCAUGCAGAAGUUGUAUGCCUAAUGUACCAACUUUUGACUCUAUUACCAAUUUGAACUUGGGUUUUUAAUAUCUAUGCAAAGAAGGGCAGAAGGUCUUUGGGAGAACCCUUUAGGAAAACACUAGACAAGAACAUCCCUAGAUUGUCAAGUGUUGAACUUGUUCCCUUGGUUGAAGGAUCUUCACUUGUAGCUACUUCUUUGUUGAAAUAUGUUCCUCCGAAUGUUGUUGCCUCCACCCCUUUGAAUAGCCUUUAAGGUACUAGCCUGUAAAUGAGCUUGAAGGUUAUAGAAAUCGCACCCUCCUUCAAGUGGCAAAGACAUAUGUCCCUCUACUAAUAUAUCUUUAGUCUACCUUUUAUUUUCUUACUUGUGUGUUGGUUUUUUUUUAUAACGAAUGAGAGAGAAAACUUGGAGUAAAAACUUCAAUUGUUGGAGGGGGAAUUGGAAGUUUUAAAGAAUAAGUGUUUGAAUGAGGAUAGUCACCCGAAAAGAGACCAAUUACAUUAUGUGUAACACCUUAAUUCUGGCUCAGAAGUCCAGUUGGAUCCAAAGCCUUAUAGUGGUCGCUAGCACGAACUAGUUCAAUCAAUCAUUCAAUUUAGUCUCGAAAUUAAAAAUUCAAAGAAGUCCAUGAUUCAUAACAAUACUAAAAAUCUAAAUUUUAUCAUUUCAUAUGAAUUUUCUGAAACAAUUCAUUUUAGGCUUAAUUCACAAUUUAGCCCUUGAAAUAUACCCAUUUUUCCAUUUUAAUACCUAAAAUUUUUUGUCCCAAUUUGUUACCUAAAGUAUCAAUUUCCUCUAUUUUUGGUCCAUUUGUAACAAAAAUUUAAAAAAAAACUCUUAGGCAACUUUGGCUAAUGAAAAAGCGGCACAUGGCAUGUUUUGGCCAAUGAAAAAAUGUCACAUGGCAAUUAAUUUUAUUUAAAAUAAAUUAUUAAAUUAAAAAUUAAAAAUUAUAAUAUUAAAAAAUACUUUUGACAUUGACCAACCACAACAUUGACUGGCCACAUAGCGCAAUUAGAACAUGCAAUGUGUCCCUUUUUUUUUUUUACUAUUAUAUUGAUUAAGAAUGUAAAAAAAUCAUAUAUAAUAUAUAUUUUUAAAAAUUAAAAAUAUUUUUUAUAAAAUUUUAAAAUAUAUAAUUUUAAAUUUUAAAAAGUCAAAAUAAUAUAUAAAAAUUAAAAAAUGUUAUAAAAAUUAAAAAAAGGUAUUUAAAUUUUUUUUACACUUUUAGUAAUAAUAUUAUUAAUUUCAACUAAUUUCUUUUCAGUUAUCCUAUUUUUUAUAAAUUUUAUUUUUAUAAAAAAUUAUAAUUUAUAUGUUUUUUUCUAUCUUUUAUAUUUAUUUAUAAUUUUAAUAUAUUUAAUUUUAUUUUUUAUAUUUUUAAUGUAUAUAUGCAUUUAGUAAAAGAAAAUAUUUAUUUUUACAUCAAAAUGUACAUGGCGCUUUGUGAUUAGUUACAAGAUUUUUUUUAUCGUUUGUCAGAAAAUGAACUAAAAAAUAUAAGGGAGACAUAUACCAAAUUGAGGAUUUAAGUGUAUUUUAGAUAUCAAAUUAGGAAAAAAAAUUAAGUACCAAAAUGAAAAAAUUGGGAAUUCUUUAAAAGUCAAAUGAUGAAUUAAGCCUUUAUUUUACCAAUAUUAUACAAAUAGUUCGAAAAAUUUUCACCGAACUGAUCUCAUAUCAGCAUGAACUCAAUACUGAAAUUUUCGGGGUGUUGCAUUAUGUUAUUAAGAGCAAGGAUAAAGAGUUGGCAUUGUUGGAGAGAGAGACAAAGCAUUGUCUGAGGAACUGAAGAGGGUAAUGAAGGAGCUACCUGUUGAUACAGCAAAGAAUGAAGAUCUAGUCGAGCAGAUAAUCAACACUACACAAUGCCACCGCGAAUGGACGCUUUGGAAAUGCAGCUAAAGUAUGGGCCAUUAGAUUUCCUCAUGAGUUGUUGCAUCCCGUGUUAGAACCCUUAUUAAAAAGAGUGGAGCUUCGUGCUACUGUUGCUGCUCCACUAGAGAAUAAUGAGAGACUACGAAGGAAGCUACUCUAGAUGCUACCCUAGGCUUUGAAUAGAAUGUUAUAAUUAGUCAAGCGACUACUGUUGUCGAGGAUGACUGAACUUUUAUAUUGUUUUUAUGAACCAUUGGUUUUGUUUUUUCGUGUUUGUUGUUUAUGAUCUAGGUUCAAAGUUGUUUGGAUCAGUGACGAUCAGGCUAGGUUGCUUAGCAGAAGAAUCCAUGAAGGAUUCCCAGAAAUGACAUCAAUUCUUGACAUCGUUUUUGUGAUAUUGGUCAAGGUAGGUUGAAGGUGAGCUAUUGGUGAUCAGUAACACAAAAUCAAAGGGUGCAAGAGUCUUCUGAAGCACCCUCUGCUUAAGACAACAAAGUAUAACGGAAGAAGGAUCAAAGAAAGCAGGGUUUAUGGAAGAGAUUGUUUUCGUACCUGAUCAACAUGGUGAAAGUGCAUAUUUAUAGGCUUUGUGCCUAGAGCUGCUCGGGCUGGUGCCUCGAUUUCAGUUGGUUGUGCUUGGGCAUUUUUUUCGCAUAUUCAAGGUCAUUAGCUUCCUACCUUAUUUCGUUUUAACUCUUCUCGGUCCUUGAUUGUGCGAAAGCUUUUGAGCUUUGCACAAGAAGGUCCCUUCUGAAGCAUUUCAAACCUGUUCUUAUUAUAUUAUGAGCUGAUAACCUUUUUGUGGGUUUUUGGUGAUUGAUUAGCCUACUAUUGAUUAAACCAUUAUAUUUGUCUGGGCUUGAGCCUGUGUGUAUUGUCUUUAGGUCUAGUACAUUGAAUUUUGUGUAUUAAAACUGUUAUAUUGGAUUUAGAUGUGUUGAAUGAGUUGAGAUAAGGCUAUUCAAACUGAAAAAAGAAGAUUAACACACUUGUGAGUCGGCGUAGCUAUGCGUGUCGACGGUGCUUGGUUUGCAUGCUUGAUUAAUUUCCUCGACACCUACGGCUCGUUGUCGACGGUAUUUCCUACUUGGUGAUUCGCAGAAGUUCCUGCAGCCGUUACCCCCAUUAUUCACAUUUUUGUUUGUGGAAAUCAACAGAAAAUACACCUACUGCUGCUGCUGCUGUAUACAAUACCGUAUAUCUUAACAAGGCUUUACACCAUUCAAUAUUAAAAAAGAAAAAGAAAAAGGAAGCCGUCCCAUCAGAUCAUAUGGUAGUUAAUUUCCAACUUUCACAUUUUUUAUUCAAGUAAAGUCCUGAUGAAGCAAUGUAUAAUAACCAUUUAAGAAAACAUAUGGCAACAGCAACCAUUCUAAGCAUUCUAAGCAAGCACCAAAGAUAAGGCACCGAUAAAAUGUAUAAAUAUACCAGAAACAGAACAGCAAUUAUCAUUAAGAACUUUCUCCAAAAUCACUAACAAAACCUCCCAAAAAGGCACAAAACAAAAUAUUAAACCUAAGGAUAACUUCAAUAAUAAUUAAAAAAAAAACUAGUAAAAAGUUCCAACAAGAAGAGUGGUGCUUAGUCAACUUCUUCCAUUUUGCUGCCUUCAGCAUCAGCAUCCUCCAAUGGGGGCAUAUCAGCAUCAGCUUCAGCUUCACCUGCAUCCUCGUCAAUGCUCAAGCCGAGUUUCAGCAUCCUGUGGAUUCUGUUGCCAAAGGUGUUAGGUUCAUCAAGGCUGAAGCCAGAGGUGAGGAGAGCAGUCUCAAAGAGAAGGAGAACAAGGUCCUUCACAGAUUUAUCAUUCUUGUCUGCAUCAGCUCUCUUUCUCAGCUCUUCCAUGAUGGGAUUCUCCGGGUUGAUCUCCAUUGUCUUCUUGCUUGAC